rnacentral:tRNA from 1 species
GCCGGCAUGGCUCAGUGGUUGAGCAUUGGCCUGCCAGGAGGUCAUGGUUCGAUUCCUGGUCACGGCA